rnacentral:rRNA from 1 species
AGGCUUCGGCCGACUGAAUAAUGGAAUAGUGGCGGACGGGUGAGUAACGCGUGAGUAACCUGCCCUGUACAGGGGGAUAACAGUUAGAAAUGACUGCUAACACCGCAUAAGCGCACGGGAUCGCAUGAUCCUGUGUGAAAAACUCCGGUGGUACAGGAUGGACCCGCGUCUGAUUAGCUGGUUGGUGAGGUAACGGCCCACCAAGGCAACGAUCAGUAGCCGGCCUGAGAGGGUGAACGGCCACAUUGGGACUGAGACACGGCCCAGACUCC